rnacentral:rRNA from 1 species
AGAACGAACGCUGGCGGCACGCCUAACACAUGCAAGUCGAGCGCCCAGCAAUGGGAGCGGCGGACGGGUGAGGAACACGUGGGAACAUGCCUUUCGGUUCGGCACAACUGCGGGAAACUGCAACUAAUUCCGGAUACGCCCUUACGGGGAAAGAUUUAUCGCCGAAAGAUUGGCCCGCGUCUGAUUAGCUAGUUGGUGAGGUAAUGGCUCACCAAGGCUUCGAUCAGUAGCUGGUUUGAGAGAACGACCAGCCACACUGGGACUGAGACACGGCCCAGACUCCUACGGGAGGCAGCAGUGGGGAAUCUUGGACAAUGGAGGAAACUCUGAUCCAGCGAUGCCGCGUGAGUGAUGAAGGCCUUCGGGUUGUAAAACUCUUUUACCAGGGAAGAUAAUGACUGUACCUGGAGAAUAAGCCCCGGCUAACUUCGCGCCAGCAGCCGC